rnacentral:rRNA from 1 species
UACGUAGGGUGCGAGCGUUGUCCGGAAUUAUUGGGCGUAAAGGGCUCGUAGGCGGUCUGUCGCGUCGGUAGUGAAAACUCAGGGCUUAACCCUGAGCCUGCUUCCGAUACGGGCAGAUUAGAGGUAUGCAGGGGAGAACGGAAUUCCUGGUGUAGCGGUGAAAUGCGCAGAUAUCAGGAGGAACACCGGUGGCGAAGGCGGUUCUCUGGGCAUUACCUGACGCUGAGGAGCGAAAGUGUGGGGAGCGAACAGG